CCUACGGGUGGCAGCAGUGAGGAAUAUUGGUCAAUGGCCGUAAGGCUGAACCAGCCAAGUCGCGUGAAGGAAGAAGGAUCUAUGGUUUGUAAACUUCUUUUAUAGGGGAAUAAAGGUAUCCACGUGUGGAUAUUUGCAUGUACCCUAUGAAUAAGCAUCGGCUAACUCCGUGCCAUCAGCCGCGGUAAUACGGAGGAUGCGAGCGUUAUCCGGAUUUAUUGGGUUUAAAGGGUGCGUAGGUUGUUUUUUAAGUCAGCGGUGAAAGUUUUUGGCUCAACCAUAAAAUUGCCGUUGAAACUGGAAGACUUGAGUGUGUUUGAGGUAGGCGGAAUGCGUGGUGUAGCGGUGAAAUGCAUAGAUAUCACGCAGAACUCCGAUUGCGAAGGCAGCUUACUAAACUGCCACUGACAUUGAUGCUCGAAAGUGUGGGUAUCAAACAGGAUUAGAUACCCCAGUAGUC
rnacentral:rRNA from 1 species